GGCUCAGGAUGAACGCUAGCGGCAGGCUUAAUACAUGCAAGUCGAGGGGUAGCAAGAUUGUAGCAAUACAAUUGUUGACGACCGGCAAACGGGUGCGGAACACGUACACAACCUUCCUACAAGUGGGGAAUAGCCCAGAGAAAUUUGGAUUAAUACCCCGUAACAUAGCGAUGUGGCAUCACAUUGCUAUUAUAGCUUCGGCGCUUGUUGAUGGGUGUGCGGCUGAUUAGAUAGUUGGCGGGGUAACGGCCCACCAAGUCUACGAUCAGUAGCUGAUGUGAGAGCAUGAUCAGCCACACGGGCACUGAGACACGGGCCCGACUCCUACGGGAGGCAGCAGUAAGGAAUAUUGGACAAUGGACGCAAGUCUGAUCCAGCCAUGCCGCGUGAAGGAUUAAGGUCCUCUGGAUUGUAAACUUCUUUUAUAAGGGACGAAAAAAGGUCUUUCUAGAUCGUCUGACGGUACCUCAUGAAUAAGCACCGGCUAACUCCGUGCCAGCAGCCGCGGUAAUACGGAGGGUGCAAGCGUUAUCCGGAUUCACUGGGUUUAAAGGGUGCGUAGGCGGGCAGGUAAGUCAGUGGUGAAAUCCUAGAGCUUAACUCUAGAACUGCCAUUGAUACUAUCUGUCUUGAAUAUUGUGGAGGUAAGCGGAAUAUGUCAUGUAGCGGUGAAAUGCUUAGAUAUGACAUAGAACACCUAUUGCGAAGGCAGCUUACUACGCAUAUAUUGACGCUGAGGCACGAAAGCGUGGGGAUCAAACAGGAUUAGAUACCCUGGUAGUCCACGCCCUAAACGAUGGAUACUCGACAUACGCGAUACACUGUGUGUGUCUGAGCGAAAGCAUUAAGUAUCCCACCUGGGG
rnacentral:rRNA from 1 species